rnacentral:lncRNA from 1 species
CAGGUGCCUGCCACCAUGUUCAGCUAAUUUUUUGCAUUGUUUUUUGUAGAGAUGGAGUUUUUCCAUGUUGUCCAGACUGAUCUCAAACUCCUGGGCUCAAAAGGAUCCACCUGCCUUGGUCUCCCAAAGUGCUAGAAUUACAGGUGUGAGCCACCACACCCUGCUCUCUGUGUGUGCUUGAGCAACUACUUCACUAUUCACUUUAGAGUGCUGUGAUUCCAUAUAUUUCUCUCUAUAGAGCAUCAUUAACUAUAACUAAGUCUCAUCCACAAGGGCCAGAAGUGCAUCUCCCACCUGGGCAGUCAACAGAAAGGGGGUUAAUACCAGGGACUUAAGGAUUCUUUCAGACUGGGGGUGUAGCUCCAGCAGGCUGUGGAAAUGCUGGAGCUGAUCAGAAAAGGAAGUGUGAAGACAGUGUCAGAAGUCAUUUUGCUAUUAACCAGCAAAGGUGUUGAGGGAAAUGAGAACACAUGUCAUCAGUUACCACUUUUGAUGGACUUCAAAGACUUAAGAUUUUCCUCCAAGUAAUCUCAAGAAACUCACCCAGAGAAACAAACUAGGACUCAGCGCUGACCUCCCAGCAAUCCCAGUAACUUGCUUGAAAGUGAAGGAAGUGGAUUUCAAACAAGCAUAAGCCAAGAGAGGAUUUGAUGCCCACAUAAACCAGGAAGAAUGAUGUUACAGCUGGCCUCAGGAAUGACAGAAUUAGGACUGGGGUGAUCUCUGCCUGUCAAGACUCCUGGCCUCCAUCUCUGGCCUCUGCAUCACUGUGUGUUGGUCUAAUUGGUCUCAAACCGGC